GAACGCACAUUGCGCCCCUUGGUAUUCCAUGGGGCAUGCCUGUUCGAGCGUCAUUUGUACCCUCAAGCUCUGCUUGGUGUUGGGUGUUUGUCCUCUCCCUUGUGUUUGGACUCGCCUUAAAGCAAUUGGCAGCCAGUGUUUUGGUAUUGAAGCGCAGCACAAUUUGCGAUUCUGACUGGUAUUGUUAGCGUCCAGUAAGCACAUUUAACACUUUUGACCUCGGAUCAAGUAGGGAUACCCGCUGAACUUAAG
rnacentral:misc_RNA from 1 species